rnacentral:rRNA from 1 species
GGUUAAGCGACUAAGCGUACACGGUGGAUGCCCUGGCAGUCAGAGGCGAUGAAGGGCGUGCUAAUCUGCGAUAAGCGUCGGCGAGGUGAUAUGAACCUUUGACCCGGCGAUACCCGAAUGGGGAAACCCAGUGUGUUUCGACACACUAUCAUGUCAUGAAUACAUAGUGGCAUGAGGCGAACCGGGGGAACUGAAACAUCUAAGUACCCCGAGGAAAAGAAAUCAACCGAGAUUCCCCCAGUAGCGGCGAGCGAACGGGGAGGAGCCCAGAGUCUGAAUCAGCGCGUGUGUUAGUGGAACGGUCUGGAAAGUCCGACGGUACAGGGUGAUAGUCCCGUACACAAAAAUGCACACGUUGUGAACUCGAAGAGUAGGGCGGGACACGUGGUAUCCUGUCUGAAUAUGGGGGGACCAUCCUCCAAGGCUAAAUACUCCUGACUGACCGAUAGUGAACCAGUACCGUGAGGGAAAGGCGAAAAGAACCCCGGCGAGGGGAGUGAAAAAGAACCUGAAACCGUGUACGUACAAGCAGUGGGAGCCUACUAGUUAGGUGACUGCGUACCUUUUGUAUAAUGGGUCAGCGACUUAUAUUCUGUAGCAAGGUUAACCGUAUAGGGGAGCCGAAGGGAAACCGAGUCUUAACUGGGCGUUAAGUUGCAGGGUAUAGACCCGAAACCCGGUGAUCUAGCCAUGGGCAGGUUGAAGGUUGGGUAACACUAACUGGAGGACCGAACCGACUAAUGUUGAAAAAUUAGCGGAUGACUUGUGGCUGGGGGUGAAAGGCCAAUCAAACCGGGAGAUAGCUGGUUCUCCCCGAAAGCUAUUUAGGUAGCGCCUCGUGAACUCAUCUUCGGGGGUAGAGCACUGUUUCGGCUAGGGGGCCAUCCCGGCUUACCAACCCGAUGCAAACUACGAAUACCGAAGAAUGUUAUCACGGGAGACACACGGCGGGUGCUAACGUCCGUCGUGAAGAGGGAAACAACCCAGACCGCCAGCUAAGGUCCCAAAGUCAUGGUUAAGUGGGAAACGAUGUGGGAAGGCACAGACAGCCAGGAUGUUGGCUUAGAAGCAGCCAUCAUUUAAAGAAAGCGUAAUAGCUCACUGGUCGAGUCGGCCUGCGCGGAAGAUGUAACGGGGCUAAACCAUGCACCGAAGCUGCGGCAGCGAC